rnacentral:SRP_RNA from 1 species
GCCGGGCAUGGUGGUGCACGCCUGUAAUCCCAGCUACUCAGGAGGCUGAGGCAGGAGAAUCACUUGAACCCGGGAGGUGGAGGUUGCAGUGAGCCAAGAUCAUGCCACUGCACUCCAGCCUGGGCAACAGAGUGAGAUUCUGUCUCAA